rfam:Jatropha curcas cultivar GZQX0401 scaffold325_16, whole genome shotgun sequence.
AAGUUAUGGUGUGGACACUUCCUCAAUAGGUCUUUCAAUCUCUCUCAAGCUUCAUACAAACUCUCUUGAUCAUGGUGGGCAAAGGUUAUUAUCUCAUUGCUAAGCUU